CCUACGGGAGGCAGCAGUGGGGAAUAUUGCACAAUGGGGGAAACCCUGAUGCAGCAACGCCGCGUGAGCGAUGAAGGCCUUCGGGUUGUAAAGCUCUGUCUUCUCUGACGAAGUAUGACGGUAAGAGAGGAGGAAGCCACGGCUAACUACGUGCCAGCAGCCGCGGUAAU
rnacentral:rRNA from 1 species